AUUCCAGCUCCAAGAGCGUAUAUUAAAGUUGUUGCAGUUAAAAAGCUCGUAGUUGGAUUUCUGGUCUAAUGCGCCUGGCCCGCUGCCGUUAGGUAUGUGAGUGCCGGUGCGCGUUUACCAUCCUUCCAGAGAACACUUCUACCAUUUAUUUGGACGGAUGUUGUCUUCUGGAUCUUUUACUUUGAAAAAAUUAGAGUGUUUAAAGCAGGCCUUUGCUGUGAAUACAUUAGCAUGGAAUAAUAAUCUAGGACUUCGGUUCUAUUUUAUUGGUUGCGGAACUGAAGUAAUGAUUGACAGGGAUAGUUGGGGGUGCUAGUAUUCAGCGGCCAGAGGUGAAAUUCUUGGAUUCGCUGAAGACUAACUUAUGCGAAAGCAUUCACCAAGGAUGUCUUCAUUA
rnacentral:rRNA from 1 species